rnacentral:rRNA from 1 species
UACGUAGGGUGCGAGCGUUGUCCGGAAUUAUUGGGCGUAAAGGGCUCGUAGGCGGUUUGUCGCGUCGGGAGUGAAAUCCACUGGCUUAACUGGUGGCUUGCUUUCGAUACGGGCAGACUGGAGGUAUGCAGGGGAGAACGGAAUUCCUGGUGUAGCGGUGAAAUGCGCAGAUAUCAGGAAGAACACCUAUGGCGAAGGCAGCACUCUGGGACGGUACUGACGCUGAGACGCGAAAGCGUGGGGAGCGAACAGG